UCCAUUCAGGGCUUUGAUGACUACAUUGAUAGUAAGGGAGAUGCAGAAGGUAAUUAUACUGUGGUUGCACUGCAAGAUGUAAGCGACGAUCCAGGCGAGCCACCUCAAAUGAAAUCUGUUGGAUAUUUCUACUAUUCAAGCAAAUCAUCCAUCAUUCCCGAAUUCAAAUACAACGAUGCUGAUACACAAAUUCAAUGGGUUAAUUCCAUGCCACCAGCAGCCGAGCCGAGCCGAGUGGCCUUUUACAGCAUUUU